UACGUAGGGUGCAGGCGUUAAUCGGAAUUACUGGGCGUAAAGCGUGCGCAGGCGGUUUGCUAAGACAGGUGUGAAAUCCCCGGGCUUAACCUGGGAACUGCGCUUGUAACUGGCGAGCUUGAGUGUGGCAGAGGGGGGUGGAAUUCCACGUGUAGCAGUGAAAUGCGUAGAGAUGUGGAGGAACACCGAUGGCGAAGGCAGCCCCCUGGGCUAACACUGACGCUCAUGCACGAAAGCGUGGGGAGCAAACAGG
rnacentral:rRNA from 1 species